GUGCUCGCUUCAGCAGCACAUAUACUAAAAUCAGAACGAUACAGAGAAGAUUAGCACGGCCCCUGCACAAGGACGACACGCAAAUUCGUGAAGCGUUCAGGUCCCGA
ensembl:snRNA U6 U6 spliceosomal RNA